CUGGGCGUAAAGCGUGCGCAGGCGGUCCAUAAGACAGAUGUGAAAUCCCCGGGCUUAACCUGGGAACUGCGUUUGUGACUGUGGGACUUGAGUGUGGCAGAGGGGGGUGGAAUUCCACGUGUAGCAGUGAAAUGCGUAGAGAUGUGGAGGAACACCGAUGGCGAAGGCAGCCCCCUGGGUCAACACUGACGCUCAUGCACGAAAGCGUGGGGAGCAAACAGGAUUAGAUACCCUGGUAGUCCACGCCCUAAACGAUGCGAACUAGGUGUUGGGGAAGGAGACUUUCUUAGUACCGCAGCUAACGCGUGAAGUUCGCCGCCUGGGGAGUACGGUCGCAAGAUUAAAGCUCAAAGGACUUGACGGGGACCCGGACAAGCGGUGGAUGAUGUGGAUGAAUUCGGUGCAACGCGAAAAGCCUUACCUGCCCUUGACGUGUCGGGAAUUUCUGGAUGAGAGGUGGAAGUGCCCGAAAGGGAACCUGAACACAGGUGCUGCAUGGCAGUCGUCAGCUCGUGUCGUGAGAUGCUGGGUUAAGUCCCGCAACGAGCGCAACCCUUGUCAUUAAUUGCCAUCAUUCAGUUGGGCACUUUAAUGAGACUGCCGGUGACAAACCGGAGGAAGGUGGGGAUGACGUCAAGUCCUCAUGGCCCUUAUGGGUAGGGCUUCACACGUCAUACAAUGGUCGGUACAGAGGGUUGCCAACCCGCGAGGGGGAGCCAAUCCCACAAAGCCGAUCGUAGUCCGGAUCGCAGUCUGCAACUCGACUGCGUGAAGUC
rnacentral:rRNA from 1 species